rnacentral:misc_RNA from 1 species
UCUCCACUGUUGAUGAAUUGGUUCUUUAUUCAGUUAGUGUUAAGGUUGAGGAAGGUUGUCACCUUAAUACAGUGGAUGAGAUUGCAGCUGCUGUUAAUCAAAUGCUACGCNNNNNNUUCAUGAAGAGGAUGCUGCUUUAAGCUAAAAUUAAAUUAUUGUAACCCUGAUUGGGUUUUUCUUCUGUAAUUGAGGCUGUUAAUUACCUCUCAUAAUGGAUUUAAG